GGAGGUGGACGGAGGAUCGCCGGCGGAUACCGGGAAACCGACCGCGGGAGGAAAGUCCGGGCUCCACAGAGCAGGGAGGUCGCUAACGGCGACCCGGGGCGACCCGAGGGAAAGCGCAACAGAAAGCACACCGCCGAUGGCCGGCCUCGGCCGGCACAGGCAAGGGUGAAAUCGUGGGGUAAGAGCCCACGCGCGACGGCCGGGUGACCGGCGGCGCGGCAAGCCCCUUCCGGAGCAAGCUCGAAUAGGGAUGUCGUUUUGGGUGGCUCGCCCAAGGCCUUCGGGACCGGCAUCCGGGUUGAGUGCUCGAGCGGCGCGGCAACGCGUCGCCUAGAGGAAUGAUCCUCACCCGUCCGGCCCGAAGCCGGCUUCGGCCGCCGACGGUUGGACGGGAACAGAACCCGGCUUACAGGCCACUCUGCGG
rnacentral:RNase_P_RNA from 1 species